rnacentral:rRNA from 1 species
CUAGUAAUCGCGGAUCAGAAUGCCGCGGUGAAUACGUUCCCGGGCCUUGUACACACCGCCCGUCACACCAUGGGAGCCGGGAAUGCCCGAAGUCGGUGACCCAACCGUAAGGAGGGAGCCGCCGAAGGCAGGCCUGGUAACUGGGGUGAAGUCGUAACAAGGUAGC